rnacentral:ribozyme from 12 species
GAUGACAUAAUAGAAGAUUUUUUGGUAUUGACAGCCUUAUUCUUCUUCUUCUUUAACCCUACUCCUUCUUUUCUAACUCCCUCUAGUAGUUUUUUUUCAAUAGGAGGAAGGGAGGGACAAGGAGC